GUCCAGACUCCUACGGGAGGCAGCAGUGGGGAAUAUUGCACAAUGGGGGAAACCCUGAUGCAGCGACGCCGCGUGAGCGAUGAAGUAUUUCGGUAUGUAAAGCUCUCUCAGCAGGGAAGAAAAUGACGGUACCUGACUAAGAAGCCCCGGCUAACUACGUGCCAGCAGCCGCGGUAAUACGUAGGGGGCAAGCGUUAUCCGGAUUUACUGGGUGUAAAGGGAGCGUAGACGGCAAUGCAAGCCAGAUGUGAAAGCCCGGGGCUCAACCCUGGGACUGCUCUGGAAACUGUAAAGCUGGAGUGCGGGAGGGGCAGGCGGAAUUCCUGGUGUAGCGGUGAAAUGCGUAGAUAUCAGGAGGAACACCGGCGGCGAAGGCGGCCUGCUGGACGAUGACUGACGUUGAGGCUCGAAAGCGUGGGGAGCAAACAGGAUUAGAUACCCGGGUACUA
rnacentral:rRNA from 1 species